GUGUCAGCCGCCGCGGUAAGACGAACCGUGCGAACGUUGUUCGGAUUCACUGGGCUUAAAGGGCGCGUAGGCGGGUGAUCAAGUCCGGGGUGAAAUACUCCAGCUUAACUGGAGAAUAGCCCUGGAUACUGGUCGUCUUGAGGGAGGUAGGGGCAUGUGGAACUUCCGGUGGAGCGGUGAAAUGCGUAGAUAUCGGAAGGAACGCCGGUGGCGAAAGCGAUGUGCUGGACCUCUUCUGACGCUGAGGCGCGAAAGCCAGGGGAGCGAACGGGAUUAGAUACCCCGGUAGUCCUGGCCCUAAACGAUGGGUACUAGAUUGUAGACUUAACAUGGGUUUACAGUCGAAGCAAAAGUGUUAAGUACCCCGCCUGGGGAGUAUGGUCGCAAGGCUGAA
rnacentral:rRNA from 1 species